rnacentral:rRNA from 1 species
AACGAACGCUGGCGGCAUGCCUAACACAUGCAAGUCGAACGAAGGCUUCGGCCUUAGUGGCGCACGGGUGCGUAACGCGUGGGAAUCUGCCCUUUGCUUCGGAAUAACAGUUAGAAAUGACUGCUAAUACCGGAUGAUGUCGCAAGACCAAAGAUUUAUCGGCAAAGGAUGAGCCCGCGUAGGAUUAGCUAGUUGGUGGGGUAAAGGCCUACCAAGGCGACGAUCCUUAGCUGGUCUGAGAGGAUGAUCAGCCACACUGGGACUGGGACACGGCCCGGACUCUUACGGGAGGGAGCAGAGGGGAAUAUUGGAAAAUGGGGGGGGGCAUGAUCCAGCAAUGCCGGGUGAGUGAUGAUGUCCGGAAGGAUGUAAAGCUCUUUUACCCGGGAUUAUAAUGACGGUACCGAGAGAAUAAGCACCGGCUAACUCCGUG